UUCUGGAAAUCUGACCCUCUGCCAUGCUCGUGGAUGUGCAGAUGUACCCAUGGAGCACAGCGACACCGCUGCUUCAUAAAGAAUAGACCUAAGGAAAAGAAAAAGAAAAAAAAAAAAAAGGGAAAAAAAAAAAAAAAAAAAAAAAGAAAAAAAAAAAAAAGAUCUAAAAAAAAAAAGAAAUUUUUGGAAAAAAAAAAAAAGAAAAAAAAAGAGAAAAGAAAAGAAAAAAAAAAGAAAAAAGAAGAAGGAAAAAGAGAAAAAAGAAAAAAAAAAAGAAAAAAAAAAAAGAAAAGGACCGAAGGAAAAGUAAAAAAAGAAAAAGAAAAAAAAAGGAAAAAAAAAAAGAAAGGAAAAAAGAAAAAGAAAAAAAAAAAAAAAAAAAGAAAGGAAAAAAAGAAAAAAAAAAUAAAAAGAAAAAAAAAAGAAAAGAAAAGAAAACAAAAAAAAAAAAAAAGAAAAAAAAGUAGAAAAGAAAAAAAACCACAGAAAAAAAAAAAGGGGGGGAAAAAAAAAAAUAGGAAAAAAAAAAGAAGGGAGAAAAGGAAAAAAAACUCAAGAAAAAAGAAAAAAAGGAAAAAAAAAAAAAAAACAAAAAAAGGAAAAAAAAAAAAGAAGAAAAAAAAGAAAAAAACCCCGAAGGGAAAAAGAAAAAAAGAAAAGAAAGAAACAAGAAGGAACAAAAAGGGAGGAAAGAAGGAAAGAAGGAAAAAGGAAAAAGAAGGGGGGGGAAAAAAAAAGGAAGGGAAAAGAAAAGAGAGAAAAGAAAAAAAAAAAAAAAAAAGAAAAAAGAAGGAAAGAGAAAGGAAAAAGAGAAAGGAAAAGGAAAAAGGAAAGGGAAAAAGAAAAGAAAAAAAAAAAAAGAAAAGAAAAAAAGAAAAGAAAAAAGAAAAGAAAAGAAAAGAUCUGCCAUAAAUCUCCCCCUCCCGGCACAGACAGCCCAAAACUUUGAAAGUCAACUUUCUGACCAGGUUUGCCAAAAGGGCAGCUGUUUGGAACACCCACGUUCAACCCACCUGGAUUCAACAUGCCUCCCAAGACAGCAGAACUCUUCCCUCCUUCAGUGAAUCAUAUGAUAAGCAAAUGUAUGAUAGGAAGCAAGUUUGCUUCCUAAAUUCUUAUCUGGGCCACCAUGAAGAGGCUCGGGUGUCUGUUUUCACUGUCCCUCCCCGACCGAUGAUAUGGGCUAGAAAGCAAGCACAUUCUCAACAUUGGGGACUCCCGUGAAUGUGGACCUCUGGGACCGACUGCUGAAAGAGUUGCAGGGCAUACUUGAGAGGGUGUGAGGUCACCCUCAGACACCCC
rnacentral:lncRNA from 1 species